CCAUAAUAGAGACAAAAUGAAGACACUGUCAGACAAACAAUAUCUGAGCUGAUUCGCCACUUGCAGACACAUCUAAAACCAAUGACAAGUUAAUGAUCAUUCUUGGAUUCAUUUCUUCUACAGGCUGAAAGAAAAAGAACAAAAACAAGGAAACAGAUGCAGCCUCCAAGAUUCAAGAAGAACUGAAAGCAAUGAGCACAGUAAAUACAGCAAUUCUUCAUGCGGCAGACAAGAAGGCAACUGCAGGCUCUCACCUACCAGAGUUUGGCAACCUCAAAAAAAAAAAAGAAGAAGAAGAAAAAUUUCUCCCUUUAAAAUUACUCCCAAAGAGGAAUUUGAUUGUUCUUUGUUAUGCCAAGUGUCAGGCUCCAGCCCAAGCUGAGGACCAAGGGGAGUGGGCGGACCAAUGGCAGAGUUGUGCACCUGUGCUUCAAACCCGCUGAGUCACGCUGCACUGGAAAGCCACCUUGGCCUACUCCUUACAUUCUGCUUGAGCCAAAUGGUCACACAUUCAUCCCUAAGCCAAUCACUCUGGCCAGAAGAAUGGGAUACUCUG
rnacentral:lncRNA from 13 species